rnacentral:rRNA from 1 species
UACGUAGGGUGCGAGCGUUAAUCGGAAUUACUGGGCGUAAAGCGUGCGCAGGCGGUUCGUUGUGUCGGUGGUGAAAGCCCCGGGCUCAACCUGGGAAUGGCCAUGGAAACUGUCUGGCUUGAGUCCGGAAGGGGCGAGUGGAAUUCCUGGUGUAGCGGUGAAAUGCGCAGAUAUCAGGAGGAACACCAAUGGCGAAGGCAGCUCGCUGGAACGGUACUGACGCUGAGGCGCGAAAGCGUGGGGAGCGAACAGG